CUACCUUGCUCCUACCUAUCUCUGGGCAGGAGAUCACUAGCAGAUGACAGUGCUGGCAUAGAUAAAUGAUCCUGAUACUGAGGUCAACUCCCUCCCUGCGAUCUAGUCUGACCCUGUCUGUGCUGCUCGAACCUAGCUCUCUUAUUUCCUCUCAUUCUAUCUUUCUCCUUAAUCUUGUCUGCCUCAAUUUAUUAGGUAUGAGUCAUCAGCCU
rnacentral:lncRNA from 1 species